rnacentral:rRNA from 1 species
AACGAACGCUGGCGGCAUGCCUAACACAUGCAAGUCGAACGAGACCUUCGGGUCUAGUGGCGCACGGGUGCGUAACGCGUGGGAACUUGCCCUUAGGUUCGGAAUAACUCCCCGAAAGGGGUCCUAAUACCGGAUAAUGUCUUCGGACCAAAGAUUUAUCGCCUUUGGAUGGGCCCGCGUUGGAUUAGCUAGUUGGUAGGGUAAAAGCCUACCAAGGCGACGAUCCAUAGCUGGUCUGAGAGGAUGAUCAGCCACACUGGGACUGAGACACGGCCCAGACUCCUACGGGAGGCAGCAGUGGGGAAUAUUGGACAAUGGGCGAAAGCCUGAUCCAGCAAUGCCGCGUGAGUGAUGAAGGCCUUAGGGUUGUAAAGCUCUUUUACCCGGGAUGAUAAUGACAGUACCGGGAGAAUAAGCUCCGGCUAACUCCGUG